UUAAAGAUAUAGAGCAAAGAUUACAGUUCUAGUCUUGUAAUGUAGUCUCGUUCUUGUAUUCGGUUUUCCUCUGAUAGAUAACGAAGAAGAGAGGUUACAUCGGUCUUGGAUGUAUUACGAUAUCGAAAAUAAAUCAUUGAGUUAAUUCUUAAACUAAGGUUACCUCAGCUUUGUGAAUUUUCGAGGAAUAAAGCACAUCGGCCUCUCUUUCUAUAUUGCAUCCCUCCGGGACUGUAAUAUAUCUGUGUGAUGUCGCACCAUGUCAGGAUGACUACAGAGUAAAUCCUUCUUGCACUAUGCCACAUGUAAGUUUCCUGAAGGGUAGACUGUGUAGCAGUUUGAAUCUUACAGUUCUGAUAUCUGUUAUAUUCUUAUCUCAGAUGACAAUUUGAGUAAUAUAUAUUUAUAUACACAAGUUAUAAAAUUUUAAAAUUGUUCGGUCAGAGCUGGCAUCUCGUAUAAUCGAGAUAUGUAAUUUAACUUUAUUAUUUAUUAGAUAAUUAAAUAAAAGUUAUUUUAAUGUCAUUAAAGUUUCUUUCUUUUAAACGAAUGAAAUUUAAACUGUAGAUUUUCGUCAGUUUUCUUGAAGUCAACCAAACUAUUGCAUCAAAUUUUUUUCUAUUUUUGUCACGGGAAUGAUUGAUCAUUUUUUGAUUCGGAUAAUGUUUAAAAAGGAAAUUUUUCUUUAUUGUUUAAAAUUUUUUACUUUAAAGUCCAGGCAUUUCGGUAUAGACUACAUAAAGAAGAUUGGUUAUUGUGUAGUA
rnacentral:misc_RNA from 1 species